rnacentral:rRNA from 1 species
UACGAAGGGGGCUAGCGUUGCUCGGAAUCACUGGGCGUAAAGCGCACGUAGGCGGCUUUUUAAGUCAGAGGUGAAAUCCUGGAGCUCAACUCCAGAACUGCCUUUGAUACUGAGAGGCUUGAGUCUGGGAGAGGUGAGUGGAACUGCGAGUGUAGAGGUGAAAUUCGUAGAUAUUCGCAAGAACACCAGUGGCGAAGGCGGCUCACUGGCCCGGUACUGACGCUGAGGUGCGAAAGCGUGGGGAGCAAACAGG